UUGAUGGCUCUGCGGUAUGUGGUGGAGAAGAUGGGCAAAGGCACAGUGAAAAAUCCUUCAAUAACAAGCAAGUACUCUUUCCUUAAACCCUCAGUCCAUUCCCCUGGAUCAAAGCUCAUUAGUUGCUUCAUUGUUAGCUCAAAUGUUAUCUUCUUCGCCUCUUCCAUGAGGAAAACUCGGUCGGUCCAAGAAUCCAAGUUGAGCCGGACCAACCGGUCUAUAUCAACCAAAAGAUGGUCUCUGAUAAUGGAGGAAUUAGCAAAACUCAUGGUUAAAGAAUGCAUUUUUUUAUGGAGGCUA
rnacentral:misc_RNA from 1 species